CAGUUAGUUGGCGGGGUAACGGCCCACCAAGACGAUGAUCGGUAGCCGGCCUGAGAGGGCGCACGGCCACACUGGAACUGAAACACGGUCCAGACUCCUACGGGAGGCAGCAGUGGGGAAUUUUGCGCAAUGGGGGAAACCCUGACGCAGCAACGCCGCGUGGAGGAUGAAGUCCCUUGGGACGUAAACUCCUUUCGACCGGGACGAUAAUGACGGUACCGGUGGAAGAAGCCCCGGCUAACUUCGUGCCAGCAGCCGCGGUAAUACGAGGGGGGCGAGCGUUGUUCGGAAUUACUGGGCGUAAAGCGUGCGCAGGCGGUCUUCCAAGUCAGUGGUGAAAGCCCGGAGCUCAACUCCGGAACUGCCAUUGAAACUGUGAGGCUUGAGGACGAGAGAGGUGAGUGGAAUUCCCAGUGUAGAGGUGAAAUUCGUAGAUAUUGGGAAGAACACCGGUGGCGAAGGCGGCUCACUGGCUCGUUUCUGACGCUCAUGCACGACAGCGUGGGGAUCAAACAGGAUUAGAUACCCUGGUAGUCCACGCCGUAAACGAUGAUUGCUAGCCGUUGGGCAGCUUGCUGUUCAGUGGCGCAGCUAACGCAUUAAGCAAUCCGCCUGGGGAGUACGGCCGCCAGGUUGAAACUCAAAGGA
rnacentral:rRNA from 1 species